UACGAAGGGGGCUAGCGUUGCUCGGAAUCACUGGGCGUAAAGCGCACGUAGGCGGGUUCUUAAGUCAGGGGUGAAAUCCUGGAGCUCAACUCCAGAACUGCCUUUGAUACUGGGAAUCUCGAGUCCGGGAGAGGUGAGUGGAACUGCGAGUGUAGAGGUGAAAUUCGUAGAUAUUCGCAAGAACACCAGUGGCGAAGGCGGCUUACUGGUCCGGUUCUGACGCUGAGGCGCGAAAGCGUGGGGAGCAAACAGG
rnacentral:rRNA from 1 species